GUGGGGAAUCUUGCGCAAUGGGCGAAAGCCUGACGCAGCCAUGCCGCGUGAAUGAUGAAGGUCUUAGGAUUGUAAAAUUCUUUCACCGGGGACGAUAAUGACGGUACCCGGAGAAGAAGCCCCGGCUAACUUCGUGCCAGCAGCCGCGGUAAUACGAAGGGGGCUAGCGUUGCUCGGAAUUACUGGGCGUAAAGGGCGCGUAGGCGGACAGUUUAGUCAGAGGUGAAAGCCCAGGGCUCAACCUUGGAAUUGCCUUUGAUACUGGCUGUCUUGAGUACGGGAGAGGUGAGUGGAACUCCGAGUGUAGAGGUGAAAUUCGUAGAUAUUCGGAAGAACACCAGUGGCGAAGGCGACUCACUGGCCCGUUACUGACGCUGAGGCGCGAAAGCGUGGGGAGCAAACAGGAUUAGAAACCCGUGUUAGUCC
rnacentral:rRNA from 1 species